UGCCACGUGGCCCGGCCAUGGCGUCUGGAGAGACAGCGUUCCCGCAGCCACUCCCUUAGUCUCUCACCUGCCUUACCCUCUCCAAGCUCUUUGGCCUGUUGGGCCCCAGGUCCCUCAGUAUUGUGUUAUCAACAAACCAAAUGCGUGCCCAGCACUCGAACCUGCUCCAGUUUAGAGCUCACAGUUCGCAGAGUGCCCAGAACGGUCACCGUGUCCACAUCUCCUGGCGUGAUGAUUAGUUUCUCCCUUUCCCUCUCAACAGUGUCCCGAGUCAGACAGUAAGGUAUACAGUCGCUCUAAGGCUUCCUCUGGGCCGAGAUCCCUUCCGCCUUAGACUGACACCUGCAGGCGUACGAAACGGCUGUGUAUGAGAACAGCUCGGAAGAGAAGAAGGUGCAGGCUUCUCCCCAUGCACACCUCCGGUCCGGGGUCGCCUUCUGAGUCCGUUCAGGGCCUUCGGAAGGGGCAGCGACUGGGAAGUUUUCACUUGAAGACGCCACACCUGCCACUGCUGUGGUGUCCAGGGCUGUACUGAGCCGCGGAGUCAGGGGAACGCUCCGAAGAGUGUCCCCGCCUCUCCUCUUGUGACGGGAGGCACCUUCAGUGUUAGGUCAAAAUCGGAAGGCAGAGGCUUGGAGAGCUGCGGAGACUGGGUGGCAGACGCCAUGCGCGGGGUCCUCCCAGGCCCUGCCGCUGUCCGAAGAGGGCAGGGACGGCCUGGUGAGGACGGCAGGAGCGCGAGGCUGUGUUGUGGAUGGUCACAGCGACAGAGGCUUGGGUGGAGACAGGAGGGUCAGUUCCAAGGUUCAUCUGUUGGAAAUUGGGUGGCCCUGGUUCUGCUCCGACAGAGGAGACGCAGCCCGCGGAGGGCGAGGUGAACCACGGCAAGGCGAGGCUUCGUCCUCCUCCCCGCGUUCCAUCCCAUGCCGGUGUCCUGAUCUGAACAUCUGAAACAGCGCGAAGCACUUGCACAACGUGAUGUUCAGACUCAAGACAGCUUCAGGGAAAAAAAGAAGAAAAAAAAGAAACUCAGGAAUAAAGUGUCCCCUCUGAGACUGAAUGAGCUACACAUCUCGGCCCGCUGUGCCACAAAAGCUCCUAACUGUUUUAUCUGUACAGAUGGUUCUCAUUUGGUGUUGGUGGCACGACUCUGUGAGCAUAUUUGUUCCUGAUAAAACUGACUGAAGAACACAGGCUGAGCUCUGCAGUGAAGAGGACCUGCAAAUAUUCUCCACUCUGCAAUUAAACAUCACCCCUAACUUCAAACCUGCUCCCCCUACAUGCUGGGGAAACUCAGAGAGAAGCAGGGGCAGCAUUUGUAAGGGUUAUUUAGGGGACCAGAAGAGUGGGACGGGGGAAGGAAGGAAGUGAUUCUGCCUGUGGAAAUCCUUUCUCUGCUUGAAAAAAUAUCGCCGCACACAAAGACCAUAAACAGAGCCCCUGGAAGACUCCUCUGAGGAACUGUUUUGAAAGCUGGUCCAUGCUCCAGGUCAACAAGAAGGAAAGGGGCCUGGGCGUGGGGGUGACACAGCUCCCCUGUGGGGUGGCCGCCACCCGGCUCUGCUGCCUUUCCGCUCCGAAAACUUCCUCAAUCUGGGUCUCGCUUUUAGAUAAUAAACAUUUGUUAUCCUUGUCCUCGUUAGCUAAAUUUUAUAAGGAGGAAAAUAAGCUAAACAAAGCGAAGAAGUUGUAUACCUGAAAACCUAUCUGUACCCGGCCGGAAUGCAAGGAAGGAAAGGCCUGAGAUUUAUUUUUAUAAACAUCAUAAUAAAUAACAGAUCUCAACCUCGGGGUAUAAACAGCGUCUGACGCGUGCACCAGGCCCGGCAGGGUUGGGUGCAGGAGCCCAGGCCGCCUUCGCUGGCUCACCUGUGCCUCAUUGCUCUCCGAAGUGGGAUUUGUAUGCCAGACCCUUCCCUCCCUCGGGUCCUGCCCCCGGCCUCCUCCGGGCCAGCGCGGGGAUUGUCCGCCCGGGAAGACACCUGACGAGGCCGGCGGCUUCCUGGCUUCCUUCCUCCGCCGACUCCAGGCCCGUGGCCCCACAGAUGUUCUCCCUGGGUUUGUUUUGAUAGCCUGUUUUUAAAACAGUUCA